UGUGUCUGAGCCUUUGAUUUUUUCCAUUUGAUAUGGCACUUUCGAUCUGAAUUUUCCGUUGAAUUCGGUAUUUUUUUUUUUUAUUAUUUUACUUUUUUUCAAUCCCAAUUUACAAUGUAUUUAAAUGAUAAAUGGAAGUUGUAACUUGUUGGACUUUGGCAUUGUUUAGUACUUAUAAAAUAUAUAACACAACGGCGAUGUCAAUUCUAAAAUAAGGUACAUAAUUGGAGGACGGGUAAGAAUUUAA
rnacentral:lncRNA from 1 species